rnacentral:tRNA from 1 species
AAUUAUAUAGUUUAUCAAAAACAAUACAUUUUCAUUGUAUAAAUAAUACUUAGUAUUUAUAAUUA